UAGCACGGUCACGAGGAUCCAAAGAAUCACCCUGGUAACUGGAAUCUCAAGUGCCAGGUAAGUUGUGCCCUUGAUCAUAUUUGUUACACAAUAAUGUUCUUUAUUAUCAUUUAUCAAUGCAUAGGUUUUGUUGGAGACUUGUUCUCAAAUGCUUUGGGUUAAGAACAAGGCAACAUAAAAAGUGUUAAAUGUUAAGGUCCUUCAUCCUUCAAGACAUUAUGUCCCUUCGGAUAUAAUGAAUUCCGGACGAAGGUUAUGAAAGAAAAGACCUUCGUAACCUCAAUAGAUAAUAAGGAAGAUGCAUGUAUGAAAUACAAAUAAUAAUUCAGAUAUUAUCAUCAACUUAUUUUUAUUUGCAUUAUCAAAUUCACAAUGACAAAUUAUAAAUGUACCUUUGGGCUGAUGAAAAGUAAAAGUACAGGCGUGAUGUGAAAAGCGAAUGCCAAGUCCACCUGAACAGUACGGGAGUACUGUUCAUCUAUUUAUAGGCACGGGACGCAGGCCGUGUAAAAUUACAUUGAUGCCCUUUACAUUUAUCAGUAACUCUAUAGUAACUCCUCAGGGUCUAAUUUGGCUUUUCAUCUUUAAGUCGGUUCCCCUUUUCUGCUGUCAUGCCGAAGCUUAUCUGCGCAUAGCUUCGUUAUGAUCUUAUCCUUCGUCACGAUCGCCUUCUGUCCCUACUCAAGCUUCGUCAUGACCAUACCCGAUUCCGAAGAUACCUGUUCACACAUUUCAGUUGGAAAACAUUGUCAAAUUAUGUUUUUGAGGACCUUCGGAAGCCGAAGGCCCCCAACAGUAGCCCCUCGCAAUAUUAAUUUGCUGGAACGAUAAAUUUAUAUUGCGACAUGGACGAAGGCUUUAAGCCGAAGGUCCGAAAAAACACCUUCCCUUUGCUAGAAUAGCAACAGUCUUUGACAAGCGGGACCCUCCAGUUUUCAACGCACUAGGUGUAUAAAUAAGAGCUCACCACGAGUUUAUUUGGCACGCUCUCUUGCCAUCUGCUUUUACUCACCCAAUUUUUAGCCUGCGCGCAACAACACUUGCCUGGCUUUUUAAAUUUUUAAGCUUCGGUUUCGAGAGCACUUUCUCAACGUUUGCAAAGAUGUCUGAAGAUAAGAAAGCUAUUUGGUGAUUCGAAGCUAAGCCUUUCUGAGGAGAUGCAUCUGGGCUUUCUUCAAUCAAUAUUGAAGACUAAUACAGAGAAGAUUACUAAGGAGAUUUUGGAGGGUUUAUCUGAAGAUACUGGUGACAGUGACAGUUAUGAUGUGGAUAGUGGUGGUGAAGACUCCGAAGAUCGACCUUGGCGACCAAGCCAUGCGGUUUUUGGUAAAUCCGGUAUUAAAGAAAAUCAUCUUGUCAAUAUGAGGGCAGAUAUUUUCGGGACUUGUCCGUUGUGAGGGCUGACGAAGGAGAGAAGACUUGUCCGACUCCUAAGGAAAAUGAAGUCGUGGUAUUCCGAAGCUUCUUGAAGGCUGGAGUACGAUUUCCCUUGAGCAGUUUUGUUGUGGAAAUACUGAAGAUAUUUGAAAUCUACCUUCACCAACUUACCCCCGAAGCAAUCAUAAGGAUGAGCAUCUUUGUGUGGGCCAUGAGGAGCCAAGGUUUGGAACCUAAUGCAAAAAGUUUCUGCAACAUACAUGAGCUAUUAUAUGAGACAAAACCCUGGGGUAAAGAGCAGUAUCACAACAAUUUUGGCUGCUACAGCUUCGGCGCCCGGUCUGGGUCAAGCUGCCCCGUGCCAACCUUUCAAAAGAGAUGGCCCGACGACUGGAUGACAGAAUGGUUUUACGUGAAGAAUGACUUGAAAUCACGGGAAGAUAUUAAAAGUAUCAUUAUGCGCCCUAUCUAGCAACGCUUCGGCCUCCGGAGGCCGAAGGUGGAAAUGAAUGAAGCAGCCGAAGAAUGCUAGAGAGCCUUCGGUGUUGUUUGCUCCUUUAUUGGGACAAGGGAUUUGGUCCAAGAACAUAUUGCCUUCAGAGUAUGGCCACUUGUGGGAAAAUGGGAAAUGCCGAAGGAGACCAUUAAAGAAACUGACGAAGGUGGACUAGUCAGGCUGAAAUACACAUUCAAAUACGGAGAUAAAUUCGUUGAGCCAGAUGAUGACUGGUUGAAAAGUAUUGAGGCCAUCAGUGAUGAAUUUCUUGGUGUAUACUCAAAGGCCGAAGAUACUGCAUUAUCAGCGGCCUUCGGAGGCCGAAAGAAGAAGAGGCUCAACCGAGUAUUUGAUGCAAUUGGGUUUGUCUACCCCGACUACCAUUAUCCAGCGCUGGGUCAAAAAAGAAAGAAUACAUCCUCUGCGAAGGAGACUGCUUCAACCGCUCCUAGCGAGCCGGCGCCGAAGAGGAAAAGGGUAAAGGUUCUCACACACCGGCCACGUUAUAUUGAACCGGCCACAGUGCCUGAGUUUGUCGGUGAGACCUCUUCGGCCACCGAAGCUAAAGAACCAAUUCCGCUGCCGAAAAUUGAAGAACUGGCCGAAGUGCCAUCAACAGAAAAGAUAGAAGAACCGAGGACUGAAGAAACAAAAACGUCAAAAGUUUUAAGUCCUUCAGCAAAAAUUGAGGCAGUAAAAAGCCAAAAGGGUCCAGCAGUGACCCCGAAAAGAAAAAGGAUGGUUAAUGUGCUGGAUGUCUUGGAGACAAUUAAGUCUUCAAGCACAACUCCGAAGCAAACUGUUGAAAUUUCUGAAGUGCAUACUGAAGCCUUUGUUGCCGAAGCUUCAAAGCAACAAUCUGAAACUGAAGCUGGGCCUUCAGAGCCCACCAAGGUAAAACACUUGGAAGCCGAAGAAACAAAAAUGGCAGAGCCAACUUUGGUUGAAGAAACUGACAUUGCUGCCCCCGAAGCGUCCUCCAAAGCCCUCGAUUAUAUUGUAUGACAUGCUUCGGGAAAAAGAUUAUCUGAAGAAGAGAUUUUUGAAGCUAAUCACUAUGCCCGAGAAUUGAAGUAUCCAAAGGGGGCCUUAGUAUUCAAUGGCACAGACGAAGAUGACUUCUUAUACUGCCUCCCAGACAACAAAGAAUUAUCUGUCUGCCGGGAGAUGGCUAGGAGUAUGGGGUUCCCGAAGCUUGAAGCUGGCCUCUGCGCUAUGACAAAGGACGAUCUUGCAGAUAGCCUUGCAUAUAAUAGUCUGAAGGUAUGAAAAUUGUAUAUUUGGAGAUCUAUAAUUUUUAAAUUAUUCUUUUAUUCUUAUACUGAUUCUUUUCAUAUAGGGUUUAAUACUUAGCAACGCUUUGAGAGCGCAAAAGAAUGCUGAAGACGAGAGUUAUAAUAUUGCUUUCAACAACCUACGAACAGAGGUUAUUAAGCUGAGGAACGAAGCUUUGGAAAAAGAUAAAAUUCUGCUUACAUUGGUGGAUAAGAUAAAGGAAGACGAAGCUACUUCUAAAGCUCAAGCUGAGGCUCAAAAACGCGAAAUCGAGGAUCUUCGGAAACAGCUUACCAGAGCUAAAGAAGAACGCAUACUUGAAGAGACGAAACGAGAACUUAGUGAUCAGUGGGCAAAUCAUUUAGAAAGAAAUGUUGAAGAGCUUCAUGCAUCCAAGAAAAGGUGCUAUGACAAAUCCAUAGAAUGUGCUAAGAAAAUAAAAUCUAGCUUCGCCAGCGUUGGCGCAUUCUCUAGCGAAGAAAACUUCACAAGGGGUAACCCCGAAGGCCCGAUUGAAUGGAUCAGUCACGAAGCUGAGGCCUUUGAGAAAAUUUUGAAUAGCCGCGGAGACAUAUGCGCCUUUUCAUGUGCCAGAGGGAUUGCUAUUAUUUUGGAGAGGAAAGGCUGUGAGCAUGUGAAAUCUUUGGCACAAUCCGAAACUGCCUUAUCCUCCGAAGAUAUAAAAGACCCUUCGGCCGAGGCAAGCCUGGUCGGUGGAAAAUUUUUCACUGACAUCUGGGACAAUGGUGGCUGAGAAAUGGCCCAAGAAAUUAUUCAGAAAAGCGAAAAAGGCAUCCAUGAUGCUAGAAAAGUAGCAGAGGCUGCUGAGAAAAGCGCAGAGCUCGAAGGGCAAAUAGGUACUAAUUAGUGGUUUUUGGCUCUUCGUUGUAACCUUUUGAUUUCGAACUUGUUCACAGUUUGUAAUAGUAAUAUAUCCGUAUCUUCUCUUCCCUCAGAACCUGAUGAGCUAUCUCUGAGCCCCCACACGAAGGGGGAUGACGAAAUUAGACAAAUGGCUGAAGCCAUAAUGGAUAAAGUUGUUGAUCAGCUACUAAACGAAGCUGCAGAAGUAGUUUUAAGGGAAGAUUAGAUGCUGCUGUAAAAACAUUAAAAUGUAAUGUUUAUUGAAAAUCAUGUGUAAUAUUGUGCAACUUUAGAUGUAAUAUAUUAGCUAUUUAUAAUUCUAUUCUUUACGAUGCAUGAAACAUCAUAUACAUACCGUUUUUUAGCCUUCGGCGAAAAAACACCUUCCCUUCUUUUCAUGCUUCGUAAAAAUCAGUAAUCAAUCCUCGUAAAAUCAAUAAUCAAUAGAUCCUUCCACUUUAGAGUUUGACGAAGGUAUAACUUUUCAAUGGCUAUUUUUUUGGUGCCUUGUCACUAUUUCUUCAAAACAAUCUUCGAAUAUCAAUAUCGAGACCCCCCUUCUUGCGUUGUUGAUGCACUAUGAUGUAUGAUGUUAUGCUAUGCAAAUGAUGUAAUGAUGUGAUGUUGUGCAAAAUGAUAUUUGCCGAAGGUUGACAUUUAUUUUUCAUUGUAAGCCUCCCUUAGGAGCUUCUUCGCCUUUUACUUCAGCGGAAUCAGCGUUUAUUUUUCGCUGUAAGCCUCCCUUAGGAGCUUCUUCGCCUUUUACUUUCAGUGGAAUCAGCGCUUAUUUUUCGCUGUAAGCCUCCCAUAGGAGCUUCUUCGCCUUUUACUUUCAGCGGAAUCAGCGUUUAUUUUUCGCUGUAAGCUCUGCAUUCCCUUCGGAACGACUUUUGAGCAGAAAACUUACACUGCGCUCCCUUAGUAACGACUUUUUGGUGCUUCGAAGAAAUUGCACUGCGUUCCUUAGAACAAAUUUUUGAUAAUUCGAAGGUCCUUCGUGCCACCAUAAAUUCUUAUGCUUAGGCAACUCGAGCCUAUGGAGAAGAUAUAUUUUCAUUAUGGUAAAAAGCGAAACUGUUACAAGAGAUUGAAAAACGAUAAAAAAACACUUAAACUCCUAUAAUUGUUCCUUAUUAAAGAGAAAGUAAUACUGAAUGCUAAAAUGCGAAAAAGUUGUUGUCGAGGUAGGAUAUUUGUCAGUAAAUGUGCUUCGACUCUGGCACAGUGCUAUUGACUGUGCGAGCUUCGGACUCUUCUCUGAAGUCCCGCUGAAGGUGAGUGUGCUGACUCCCUUCUCGCUGCUGACCUCGUUGUGUUGGUGGUGGCGGUGGAGGCUGUUGCCAAUAUGCUUGGGGUUGGCUUGCCGAAGCAACAGAAGCUGCAGGGUGAUUGCCUACAUAUUCUGGAAUGUAAGGCGAAUGGUACGAAGCAGUAUGCAUGACCUGCUUCGGCUGACUCUGUUGUGCUGCAGCUUCUGCUAUCUCCUUUUGCUUCUGGAUGGUAACAUGGCACAUUCUGGUGGUAUGGCCCUUGUCUUCACCAUAGAAUAAGCAGUAAAUUUUUCUUGGUUGAUCCCCAAAUCUUCCCCCGAAGCCCCUGGCGCUUCUGCCCCUUGGUGCUGGCGGCUGGAAAGAGCUUUGCUGCUGCCCCGAAGCUUGCGAGGAGUACUGUGGCCUUUGCUGUUGACUCCCUCUAUCAUCAGUCUGAGUAGAAUUGUGAAUUGACCUGACGUGCCUUGGAUGGAAUCUUCCUCCGAAGCCCCUGGUCAUUUCAGAGAACCUGAAUGCUUCCUCCCUUCUUUGGCGAAAGUCAUUGUCAGCUCGAAUAUACUCGUCCAUCUUCUGGAGCAGCUUCUCCAAAGUUUGGGGAGGCUUCCUGGAAAAGUAUUGAGCUGAAGGUCCCGGCCGAAGUCCCUUAAUCAUGGCCUAAAUGACAAUUUCAUUGGGCACUGUUGGUGCCUGUGCCCUCAGACGCAGGAACCUUCGGACAUACACCUAAAGGUACUCUUCGUGGUCCUGGGUGCACUGAAAUAAGGCUUGAGCAGUGACCGGCUUUGUCUGAAACCCUUGGAAGCUAGUUAUCAACAUGUCCUUCAGCUUUUGCCAUGAGGUGAUUGUUCCUGGCCGAAGAGAAGAGUACCAGGUUUGCGCAACACUCUUGACAGCCAUGACGAAGGACUUUGCCAUGGCUACAAUAUUGCCACCAUACGAAGAUAUGGUUGCUUCAUAGCUUAUCAAGAAUUGCUUCGGGUCUGAAUGACCGUCAUACAUGGGGAGCUGGGGGGGCUUGUAAGACUGGGGCCAUGGUGUAGCCUGCAGUUCAGUCGACAGAGGAGAAGCAUCAUCAAAAGCAAAAUUUCUAUGAUGGAAAUCUUCAUACCAGUCGUCCUCAUUGUAGAAGCCCUCCUGAUGAAGCUCUCUGCGCGGAGGCCUUCGGUUCUAGUCAUCUUGAGCAAGAUGAUGCACUUCUUCCGAAGCUUCAUCUAUUUGCCUCUGUAGGUCAGCUAGACGAGCCAUCUUUUCCUUCUUUCGUGGAACCUGUUGAUGGAGCAUCUCCAGGUUUUGGAUUUCUUGAUCCAAGUCAUCCUCUAGAGGCGUUGGACUGGUGGCCUUCCUCUUCUGGCUUCGGGCCUCCCUAAGAGAAAGGACAUCCUGAUUGGGAUCCAGCGGCUGCAGGGUGGCAGCCCCUGUGGCUGCGGCUUUCUUCGGUGGCAUGACGAAGGUGAUGCUUGCCGAAGAUGUUCAAAACUCAAAAAAUGGACGUGAGUUCACCGACGGUGGGCGCCAAUGUUGGAGACUUGUUCUCAAAUGCUUUGGGUUAAGAACAAGGCAACAUAAAAAGUGUUAAAUGUUAAGGUCCUUCAUCCUUCAAGACAUUAUGUCCCUUCGGAUAUAAUGAAUUCCGGACGAAGGUUAUGAAAGAAAAGACCUUCAUAACCUCAAUAGAUAAUAAGGAAGAAUGCAUGUAUGAAAUACAAAUAAUAAUUCAGAUAUUAUCAUCAACUUAUUUUUAUUUGCAUUAUCAAAUUCACAAUGACAAAUUAUAAAUGUACCUUUGGGCUGAUGAAAAGUAAAAGUACAUGCGUGAUGUGAAAAGCGAAUGCCAAGUCCAACUGAACAGUACGGGAGUACUGUUCAUCUGUUUAUAGGCACGGGAUGCAGCCCGUGUAAAAUUACAUUGAUGCCCUUUACAUUUAUCAGUAACUCUAUAGUAACUCCUCAGGGUCUAAUUUGGCUUUUCAUCUUUAAGUCGGUUCCCCUUUUCUGUUGUCAUGCCGAAGCUUAUCUGCGCAUAGCUUCGUUAUGAUCUUAUCCUUCGUCACGAUCGCCUUCUGUCCCUACUCAAGCUUCGUCAUGACCAUACCCGAUUCCGAAGAUACCUGUUCACACAUUUCACUUGGAAAACAUUAUCAAAUUAUGUUUUUGAGGACCUUCGGAAGCCGAAGGCCCCCAACAGGUUUAGUUUUGAUGGGACCCAAUAGGUCACCCUAGUCUGUUUAUCCUUUUUACCUUGUUUACCCCUAAAUCAAUUAGGUAGUUGUGCUAUUGUUUUAUAUGGUUUUGGGAUAAUAUUUCAUUACAUCCAUGUUCCAAUUAUUCUGUUAUGUUAUUUAUGUUCAUGAUAGGAUCAUUAUGUUAAUUGGAACAUGGAGCGACCACCCGGGAAAACAGUGCUACCACAAGGGUUUAAUGGGACGCCCUUGGCUGAUUAACUAGGAAAGCUAGUGGAUGACUACCUUACCCGAAAGGGGCAAGGGCAGUAGGGGAGUGGUUAGUGUAGGGAGGUCCUUGGGUUGAUUUUGCUGCGAU
rnacentral:lncRNA from 1 species